rnacentral:misc_RNA from 1 species
AAAUUAUUAUUUUAUUUUGAGUAUUGUAUAAAUAUUUAUUAUAUUUAAUAAAAAUAAAGUAAAAUUAAAAAAAUAGUUAAUAUUAUUUAAUUUUUUAAAUAUAAUAAAUAAUAUUAAAUAAAAAAAUUAAAAUGCAAUAGAUAAAAAGAAUUAUAAUUUAAAUAAAUUAAUUACUAUCAUGUAAAAAUUUUAAAAGAAGAUAUCAUAUAUAAGUGGUAAGGUGGGGAUGAAAUGACGAAUCAUUAAAAAGGGAAAGGCCAAGGCAAAGGCAAUCCCGUGACAAUAAAAGCACAUCAAGAUUCAAGAUGAGGUGGUCAAUACCCUACUCGUAAAACGUGUCCUUAUUUCUGACCUGUUUCGUUACUUUCAUGUCAGCAAACAAACAAACAAACAAACAAGUGGCCGAUCUUGCCUAUUUUUUUAUUUUUUAAUAAUAUAUAUUUUAAAAAAGAUUAUUAAUUACUAAAUGCAAAUGAAUUACUACAUGUAUUACCUCCUCCUUUUUCUCUUCCUUUGGUGCUUCUUCUUUGUUUUCUUGCUUGUUUUCUUCUUGUGGCUUUGGCAAAGGUGAAAUUAA